GUCGAGAAUCAUCCGCAAUGGGCGAAAGCCUGACGGUGCGACGCCGCGUGGAGGAUGAAGGCCUUCGGGUUGUAAACUUCUGUCACACGUUAUGAACAACGAGAAGUUAAUAGCUUGCUCGUCUGACCAAGGCGUGAGAGGAAGCGCCGGCUAAUUCCGUGCCAGCAGCCGCGGUAAUACGGAAGGCGCGAACGUUGUUCGGAAUCACUGGGCAUAAAGAGCUCGUAGGCGGUCUGUCAAGUCAGUGGUGAAAUCCCUCGGCUCAACCGAGGAAUUGCCAUUGAAACUGGCCGACUCGAGGGCAGGAGGGGAGAGCGGAAUUCCUGGUGGAGCGGUGAAAUGCGUAGAUAUCAGGAGGAACGCCGGCGGCGAAAGCGGCUCUCUGGCCUGUUCCUGACGCUGAGGAGCGAAAGCUAGGGUAGCAAACAGG
rnacentral:rRNA from 1 species